AGGGGAAGGCUGAGGAUCUGGGAGGGUCUUCAGCGCCCUUCCCUAACUUCAACUGUUAACGAUUCUGCUUUAUUUUAUUUUAUACCGGAGGUCUGAUGCCAAAAGCCGCCUGAAAAUCGCGGGUAGAGGGGAAUGAUGAGUUACUGAGGAAUUCUAAGCAGAAAAAUAACAUGGGCUGGUCCUCCUAUCAAAAAGCAUCUUCACUGGCAGGCGCAGUGGCUCAUGUUUGUAAUCCCAGCAGUUUGGGAGGCCUAGGCAGGAGGAUUGCUUGAGCCCAGGAAUUUGAGACCAGCCUGGGCAACACAGUGAGACCUCUAUUAAAAAAAAAUUAGUCAGGUAUGUGGUGGCAUGCGCCUGUGAUCCCAGUUACUCAGGAGGCUGAGGUGGGAGGAUUGGCUGAACCCAGGAGGUCGAGGCUGCAGUGAGCUGUGAUGGUGCCACUGCACUCCAGCCUGGGUGAUAGAGGGAGACCCUGUCUCAAAAAAAAAAAAAAAAAAAAAAAAACUUUACCAAAGGCCUAGCCCUUCCCUCCUGCAAAGUUCAACUCAACACACUCCCCAUCAGAUGUGCCUUGGGGGCUGACACAGCCUCAGGUCUGUUCUUCAAAUAUCUGCAUCCCUUCUCUGCAACCACAUAUUAUUUGAGUGUUUUGGGGUUUUGUUGUUGUUGUUGUUGUUUGUUCGUUUGUUUGUCUCACGCCCAGGAACUCUCUGGUCCCGAGUUUAAGUUUUGGCUUCACAAUUUACUGAUUGACUGUGGGCAAGUCACUUAACCCCUAUAAACCUCAAUUCCCUCAUCAAAAAAUAAUUUAUAGAAAUGUUUCCCCCGUAUGUUGUCUCAGCAGCUCUUCAGGAUAGUCCUAUAACCUAGCAAUAGUGACAAAGUCCUGCUUUACAAAUGAAGUGACAGAGGCUUUGAGAAGUUAUGUUGCUGCUCUGGAACACAUGGCUAGUGACAGCACCUUGAGGUGAGUCCAAACUUCCCUUUCUAUUGGGUCAAGGGAGAGUCCUUUUUCAUUUUGCUUCUCAAAACUGUUGUGAAGAUCGAAGGACAUCUUCAUCUGUUUACUCGACAAACAUUUAUUGAGACCACGGUGUGCCAACCUCGUCUCUUGGAGCAAAGGGUUCCAUCAGCUGUAAGGAUCUGGGCAGACGUGAGCCGAGGGUCAGGGCACCAUGCCCCAAGCAGGGAGCCUAUAGGUCCUGGCAGAGUGACCCAGGCUGUAGCACAGCACCUAGCACAGGGUGGCUGCAGCCUCAGCCCAGCGAUGAGCAGUCCUCUUCCCUCUUUCCAGGCCUCCCUUCCUAGGCCCCUCACACUUCAUCCUUACAACCACCCUGUUUGGGAGACAUCAUUAGCCCCAUCUUACAGAUGAAGAGAAUAUGGAUCCCGGAGGGCAACGGUCACCUGGGAACUUUAAAAGCCCAGUGCUUAGGCUGAAUCUCAGACAGUUAAGUGAGGCACUGGGGGUGGGGAGAAGGGGUGGGCCCAGGCACUAGUAGUCCUUCUACAGCUGUCCACCCAGUUCCAAGUGCAGCCCGAGACGAGAGUACUGGCAUAGUGGCCGGGCAUCUGCAGGGACUUCUGACAAACGCGGUGGAUGAGUCCAGAAGCUGAGCAGUCAGCUUGCAAAUUGUCCAGGUCCUUCGAUUUCUCUUUCUUGAAGGCAGUGUUGGGGAGGCAGUGGUGUGGGGGAGGCAGUGUGUUUGGGGUGGUUCUGGAGCUCCCCUCUCGCCCGCCUCUAGCCUUUUCUAGCUGGGUGACCUUGGGCAAGUUGCCUUACCAAUCCCAGCCUGUGCGUCUCGUGGGUUUACUGGUGGCAUUUGAGUAACUAUCAGAGGCUUCAUAAGUAUUGGUUGCUCUCUUCUGGUUUUUUUUUUUUUUUUUUUUUUUUGAGAUGGAGUCUCGCUCUGUCACCAAGGCUGGAGUGCAGUGGCAUGAUCUCAGCUCACUGCAAACUCCACCUCUCGGGUUCAAGAGAUUCUCCUGCCUCAGCCUCCCAAGUAGCUAUCAUGCCUGGCUAAUUUUUGUAUUUUUUUAGUAGAGAUGGGUUUCACCAUGUUGGCCAGGUUGUUCUCAAACUCCUGACCUCAGGUGAUCCGCCUGGGCCUCCCCAAAUGCUGGGAUUACAGGCGUGAGCCACCGCGCCUGGCCGGUUGCCUUUCUUCUUUCCCCACUUCUGCUGCCCAAGUUUGGGACAAUUCUGUUUAUUCACACCUGCUCCAAAGGAAGUGAAAUCCAGCUCAUUUCUCCUUCUUAUUGGUAGUAUUGCCCAAGGGCUGGAGGGACCAUGGGAAUGGGCAGGGAGGAGCUUUGAGAUGUGAGUGGAGUCCUGCUAUCCACAAUAUGCAGCCUCCAGGACUGGCUGGUUCUUUUCCAAGUGUGGUCCAAGUCUGGGUGUGGAGAGUGAAAUGAAGUAGAGACAGUCUGCUCUGGGCCAUAAGUGCUUGCUAAGUGCUGGGGCUUCUUUAGUGGGGUGAGGGCAGUGGUCAUCUUUCUCUGUCCUUGGAAGUAAGUUUGAGAAGCAAGAAUUAAGGGCUGCCUAGAGGGUCGGCUGGCCAAAACGCAGCCAGAUAUAGCAACUUCACCCCCAGAGGCAGGGUUACUCCAGGGUGAAUCUUAGCACAGAGCCUGGUGCACGGUGGAAGGUCUGCCAAUGCCUGCCUUGAAGGAGUAUUCUAUGUGCUUUUCUUCCCUUUUUUCCCCAGCUCUUUGUGCAGGAUUUCUUCCCAAGUCUGUUAGAGGCAUCCUCAUUGUCUCAAGAAGUUCACGGUUUUAUAGGUCUUUGAUUAUUGUCUUAGUGAGCUUAAUCUGCCAUAACAAAAUAUUAUAAACAUCAGGAAAGGAAUUUAUUUUUUCAUGGAUCUGGAGGCUAGAAAAUCCAAAAUCAAGAUCAAGAUGCCAGCAGGGUCAGAGUCUGGCAAGAGCUCUCUCCUUGGGUUGCAGAUGGCUUCCUUCUCUGAGAGAGAGAAUAGAAAGAAGAGAGACAGGAGACAGGAGAGGAAAAGGAAAGGAGAGGAGAGGAGGGGAGGGGAGGGGAAGGCAGGGGAGGGGAAAGAAGGGGAGGGGACAGAGAGAGAGAAAGAGUGCCCAAUCUCUGUGAUCUAUUCUGAUAAAGGCACUAAUCCCAUCAUGAGGGCCCCACCCUCAUGACCUCACCUACUCCUAACUACCUCCCAAAGACCCCAUCUCCAAACACUAUCACACCGAGGUUAGAACUCAAACAUGAAUUUGGAGGGAGUAAGGGCCACAAUUCACUCCAUAGCAAGAAUCAAAAGGGAAGGCUUGAGGGAUGCAUGGUAUGGAGUUGUUUUUUUUUUUUUUUUUUUUUUUAAUCAUAACAGUAGACUAGAAUAGACUAGAAAGACAAGAGACAAGAACGAAACUUCACUGCCCUCCCCACCUCCCCACCCCACUACUGCUGCUGCCUCCACAAAUAUUCCAGCCCCAAAGACAAGGAGGGUUACCUGGAGGGGUGGAGUGGGGUUGGGUGGGGAGGAGACAGUUUGGAGAAGGUUAGAGACAAGAGACCAGAGUAGAAGGUGGAGGGGAGGACAGGAGAGGGGAGAGAGAUGGGGCAAGGAGGAACAAGUCUGUGUGAGAAGAGUUGCCACACACGUGGGCCAGUGUCAGGCUCCCAGCCAGAUACCAGGCCAGUGUGGAGACUAAACCCACGUCCUCCCGGAGGAGCCAAUGCUUGCAAACCAUUCCCCUGCCUCCAGGGGGCGCUGCUUAGCCCCAGGCUGGGGAGCCACAUUGAAUUAAUUGAAGUAAAGCGUUUACACUAGUUCAUGGCACUUCCCCGGCCCUGAACGUGCCUCUGUGCAAGGCUGCCUGCGUGUACCCUGUGGAUCAGAUACUUGCUUGCACCCAAGGCUUUUCCUAAGCCCCUCUGAACUGUCCCAUAUAAACACUAAUUUUCAAGGGCUAGGAAAGCCAUAAACUCCCUCAAAAAUAAAUAGGGCUGGAGGCAGUGGUUCAUGCCUAUAAUCCCAGUACUUUGGGAGGUCAAGGUGAGUGGAUUGCUUGAGCCCAGGAGUUCAAGGCCUGUCUGGGCAACAUGGCAAAACCUCUUCUCUACAUUUUUUUUUUUAAUUAGCUGCAUGGUGGUGCAUGCCUGUAGUCUGAGCUACUUGGGAGGCUGAGGUAGGAGGAUGGCUUGAGCCUGGGAGGCAGAGGUUGUAGUGCGCCGAGAUCACACCACUGCACUCCAGCAUGGGCGACAGAGUGAUACCCUGUCUCAAAAAAGUAAAAUUACAUUAAAUUAAUAAAUAGAAGAAAGCCUUUGCACCCAAAGGCAGAGUGCUAACAGGAAGGAAAAAUCCCAGCCUUACUGCUCUGAGGGGUCAGGAGAGUAGGGAGCCCACCUCACUUGUUAUAUAACAUUAAUACAUGUGAUUAUAUAACAUCAGCAGCACAGUGUAGCAGUUAGGUACCCAGGCCUUGGAGCCAGACUGCCACCGCAUAGGUUGUGGCUUUGUCCCUUCCUAGCAGUGUGAUCUUGGGUUUCUGAAUAUCUCUAUGCCUCUGGCCGGGCAUGGUGGCUCAUGCCUCUAAUCCCAGCACUUUGGGAGGCUGAGGCGGGCAGAUCACGAGGUCAGGAAUUCAAGACCAGCCUGUCCAACAUAGUGAAACCCCAUCUCUAUUAAACAUACAAAAACUAGCCGGGCGUGGUGGUGCACACCUGUAAUCCCAGCUACUCGGGAGGCUGAGGCAGGAGAAUCACUUGAACCCAGGAGGCGGAGGUUGCAGUGAGCCGAGAUCACGCCACCGCCCUCCAGCCUGGGCAAAAAAGUGAGACUCCGUCUUGGAAAACAAACAAACAAAACACACACACACACACACACACACACACACACACACACACACACACAUAUAUAUACACACAUAUAUGUGUAUAUAU
rnacentral:lncRNA from 10 species